rnacentral:rRNA from 1 species
CAAGAUUAGGUUGUUGGUUAGGUAAAAGCUGACCAAGCCGAAGAUCUUUAGUUGGUCUGAGAGGACGAUCAGCCACACUGGGACUGAGACAAGGCCCAGGCUUUUUAAGCCAGCAGUGGGGAAUCUUGGACAAUGAACGAAAGUUUGAUCCAGUAAUAUUGCGUGAAUGAGGAAAGCAAAAAAGAUUGUAAAUUUUAUGAUCGGUUGUAAAGUUCUUUCGCUAAUGAGGAUUAUGACUUUAAUUAAAGAAGAAGCUCCGGCUAAUUUCGUGCCAGCAGCCGCGGUAAUACCAAAGGGGCAAGCGUUAUUCGGAAUGAUUGGGCGUAAAGGGUUUGUAGGCUGUAAUUAUUUAUUAAUUGUAAAAGUCUUUGUUUAUCACAUUGAAUUGCUUUUAAUAUAUUUUAUUACUUUGAGUUUAUUAGAGGGUAGCAGAAUUUCAUACAUAGGGUUAAAAUCCAUUUAUUUAUGAAAGUAAUGUCAGAGGCGAAAGGCGGCUACCUAGCAUUACUAACUGACGCUGAGGAACGAAAGCGUAGAGAGCAAACAGGAUUAGAUACCCUGGUAGUCUACGCUGCCAACGAUGAGUG